GACGAACGCUGGCGGCGUGCUUAAUACAUGCAAGUCGAACGGAAAGGCCCUGGUUUUGCUGGGUGCUCGAGUGGCGAACGGGUGAGUAACACGUGUGUAACCUGCCCCUGACUUUGGGAUAACUUCAGGAAACUGGGGCUAUUACCGGAUAGGAGCUUCUGCUGCAUGGUGGGGGUUGGAAAGUUUCGGUUGUUGUGGAUGGACUCGAGGCUUACCAGCUUGUUGGUGGGGUAGUGGUUUUCAAAGCUUUUGAGGGGUAGCCGGCAUGGCCGGGGUACCGGCGACAUUGGGACUGAGAUACGGAGCAGACUCCUACGGGAGGCAGUAGUGGGGAGUAUUGCGCAAUGGGCGGAAGCCAGAUGCGGCAACGUCGCGUGCGUGAAGAUGGCCUUCGGGUUGUAAACCGCUUUGGCCUGUGACAUAGCGUGAGUGACGGUAAUGGGUAAGGAAGCACCGGCUAACUACGUG
rnacentral:rRNA from 1 species